rnacentral:sRNA from 1 species
CUUGCGCAUGCGUACUGCCCAUAGCCGUUUCUGGAGCAGGUUAACUGACUUCUGUUUACUGUCAAGUGUUAAGGAUCGCUGCCUAGAACGUUUUCAGCCUCCGAGACUUCCUGCUGAAUGCACUCCUGCUUUCUAGUUCUUUCUGAUCGUUGGAUGGCUAUUCUGGCUCAGACUACUCUCCAAGCUGACUGAUUCAAUCUGGCUUCUCUUAGCUUCCGACUGAACUGCUCUGGUAGGCGUGGUAUUAAUUUAAGCAAUCUGUACUGAUCUCCUGGCUCCUCCUUGUUCUCUGACUCAUUCUGUCUUCACCUGUCUCUAUAAAACUUUCUCAGUAAAACUGCCUCUUUACCUCCUCUUGAGAGUUGGGCAUGUCCUAUCCUGUCAAAUCUUUUUUCUGAUUCGUCACUUUGCCUGACAUUCAAUUAGACAUCACUUUCAAACAUGGCUGCUUCCUUUCACCAACUAACUUUACCUUCGUUGUUUGAGAUUAAAGGUUUGUAUUUCGGGCUCGUCUGUAUUUCAGUCGGAGGGAUUAAAGGUGUGAAUUAAGGACUAAGCCACACCACAACUAAAAACAGUGUGAUCAAAUACCCAGCAGCAGGACACAUCACACCUUCACUGAAAGGACCAUCAAUGACAUUGGGAACAGUACCUUCUGGACAUGACAAGCUCCCUGCAUUCAUGAAAUCUCACUACCUCUGGUUACCUGUACAAGAAGCACACAGACGAAGCCAGUCAACAUUCCAGAAAGGAAGCAGGAGGAGCUCACAAGCCCCAGUUGGUAAAUGAGAAGUUACUUACAGUUGGUGUCUACUGGGUAGAGGGAGAAUGGGUUUACCUUAAGGGUAUGGCAAGUCAACCAUCUCCAGUGGAUGGCCUCACACCCAGGAAUGUAUGGGCAACACAAACUGGAUCAAAUUUUUUGAGGAAGGGGGCUAGUCAGAAACUUGGAAGAGGGUAGGGAUAGGUCUGGGAUGAGUUAGGGGAGAUGUGAGUGUGACCAGGAUACACUGUAUGUAUGGAGUGGUUCACUAAUUUAAAAAAAAAAAAGUCAAUUACCAAAUACCAAUUCUAACUUUCUGUGAGUCUUUGGAUACCAGACCUCGUCUUGCUGUUUCUUUCCAUUAGUAAGUGCCCAACUUCUGAGUAUUACUAUGAGACUCAAAUGGGUUAAUAAUGUGUGAUGAACACCAACAGCACGGGGCUCAACAUAUCACAACCCAUGUUAAUUGACAUGCUCUUCACCCACAGUGAUAGCAGCCAUAUUCAGGACUGGUAGACGGUUUGGGGAGGGAUGUGAGAUUAACUUUCUAGAACAAAAAUCCAUGGCAGAGGGCUGUGGGGACAGCUCAGUAGACCACUUGCCAUGCAAGCAUAAAUACCUGAGUUUGAUCUGCAAAACUCACGUAAAAAUCUGUAUGUGGUGGCUCACACUCAGACAACCACUGAGGAACAGGUGGGCAGAGCUCAGAGGCAGGCUGGCCAAGUCAGUCUUACCUAAUUGGUCGACUCCCAAGACACACACAGACCCUGUCUCAAAAAAUUAAGUUGACAAGGAUAGGCAGAUUCUGUGUACCUGAGGCCAGCCAGCCUGGUUUAUA